GACGUAGGGCGCGAGCGUUGUCCGGAUUUAUUGGGCGUAAAGAGCUCGUAGGCGGCUUGUCGCGUCGGCUGUGAAAACCCGCGGCUCAACUGUGGGCGGGCAGCUGAUACGGGCAGGCUGGAGUUCGGUAGGGGAGACUGGAAUUCCUGGUGUAGCGGUGAAAUGCGUAGAUAUACGGAGGAACACCAGUGGCGAAGGCGGCUCACUGGACUGGUACUGACGCUGAUGCGCGAAAGCGUGGGGAGCAAACAGG
rnacentral:rRNA from 1 species